UACGUAGGUGGCAAGCGUUGUCCGGAUUUAUUGGGUUUAAAGGGUGCGUAGGCGGCCCUAUAAGUCAGUGCUGAAAUAUCCCGGCUUAACCGGGGGGGUGGCAUUGAUACUGUAGGGCUUGAGUCGAGUUGAGGUUGGCGGAAUUGACGGUGUAGCGGUGAAAUGCUUAGAUAUCGUCAAGAACACCGAUAGUGAAGACAGCUAACUAAGCUCAAACUGACGCUGAGGCACGAAAGUGUGGGGAUCAAACAGG
rnacentral:rRNA from 1 species